UCAUAUCCAAUGGCUACAAUUGGGAUCGAACCUUCGGUCAAUGGACACAACUCAAACAGAAAAAGAGUGCUUGCUCCUCCGGUUGAUGGACCCCAACUUGUUAAAAAACCAUCUAAUUUACACAACAAGCCAAGUAUGUCAAACGAUUCAGAUUUACAAGUAUCAAACAAGAAUUCUGUUUCAGAUAAGAACAAAGAAACUAUGGUUCAUAAUGGUGGCAGUGCACGACAA